ACUACGUGAAUACCACUGUACACUGUCGAAAUCUAUGAGAGUUGCGGAUCUUUAAUGUAUUUUACGGUAAAGUUAGAAGGGCAAACUAAUGGGCGUGCCUUAGUGUGACGUCACAUAAUUGUAUAAAAGCGUGGCUCUCGCGGCGCAAGUUGAAUAGGUCAGCAGUCAUUUCUAACCCUAAUUAUUUGUGUGCAGCCUCUCCGUAGUUUGCUGUUUUGCUGGCUUUCAGUAAACUAGAGGAUGUUGGAUAUCGAGGCCGUUUUUCUUUAAAAAAGUCUAGAUUGUGCUGACCAUUCGCUCAUGCCCUUGGGUGGUAGUGUCUUUCUAUGGCCGUGGUCAGCUUACGCUGCCUCGAAGAGUUCGUCUCUGUGCCGGACACUGCUCCCGGGGAAAUUGCCGAGCAGGACUUGAGCAGAGUAAAAUUGAGCAGUGAGGAAGCUUUUGCGUUUCCCAGAGUCUUGGGAUCCGCGAGCAAUGAUCUGCUCAGACAAAUUACACGAAAAUGGAAGGCAAGAGACGAUGAGGGGGGCUGCGUGGAAAAGAGAACUGCAAAAUCUGUUGUGGCUAUAAAGCGAGCUCAGCCACGAGAAACUGACGUUUUCAUCCUCUCAUGCUGAUGUGUCUUAACUUAAUUUGAAAUAAAGGCCUGUUGAUCACUUCA